UACGAAGGGGGCUAGCGUUGCUCGGAAUCACUGGGCGUAAAGGGCGCGUAGGCGGCUCAUGAAGGCUGUGGUGAAAGUCCGGGGCUCAACCUCGGAUCGGCCGUGGCGACUCGUGGGCUGGAGCACUGUAGAGGCGGGUGGAAUUCCGGGUGUAGCGGUGGAAUGCGUAGAGAUCCGGAAGAACACCAGUGGCGAAGGCGGCUCACUGGCCCGGUACUGACGCUGAGGUGCGAAAGCGUGGGGAGCAAACAGG
rnacentral:rRNA from 1 species